rnacentral:lncRNA from 1 species
UCCACUUCACUUCGUCUUUCUCAUCUCCUCAUCUAACCCUAGCACCGCCUCAAAAUCUUCCGCCAUUCCCACCGACGUUGGAGCUCCAAAUCCUCUCAAAAUUCGAUCACACAACCCUCACUCACCCCCCAAGUCCCAAUCUACCACCAUAUCUCCUCAAACCCUCCCCAAAAUGGACCAAAUUUUGGAUCUAAAGAAAGGCAGAAAAAAAAAUCUUCUAAAUCUUCGAGUUUCCAAGACUGAUUAAGGCCGAAAUUGGUGUCAUUCGUUUGUUCUCCACAAGAACACACGAUUAUUCCCAAUUUUGGCCCAAAUCAAAAAUGUCAGAGAUUCGUUCAAGCCCUUGGUUGCUUGCAUAUCUAGGUAUUAUUAUUCUUUGACAAUUUUUUCUUCGUCCUUUAUCCUGUUCCCAUCUUCAUCUCCUUCUAUUUCCUCUUUUAUUUUUCUUUAUUAUUUUUCUAUUUUUUAAACCAUCUUACUGUCGCAUGUUAAAAUUAAAAGCAUGUUUAGUUCACAUUUGUUUUAAUUUUCAUGUUUGGUUUGAUCAGUUCGUUUUUUUUAUUUUGUUUUAUUUCAGAAGAAAUUCUGGUUUUUUGCAACUCCAUUAGCCUGUAUCUUUGUGGGUUUUGUUUUUCCUUUUUAAAUUAGACUUGGGCUCUGUCAGCAGAAGCCCAAAUAGGGAAGGUUAAUCCAGGUUUACGAGCCCCGGGGUUUGUUUUGUUUAUCGGGUCAAUUUGACCCAUGUUUGAUCUUGAAGUAAUUUGGAGGGGUUUAAAGGGUAGUCUAGAAAAUUGGGCAAGGGGAAUCUUUAAAAAUUGAAUAGGAAGCUUCCUGGAAAGAGGGGUUUGGUUAGUUCAGUAAUUGGUUUAGAAGUUCAGGGUUUAAAAUAAAAGAAUUGGAAACCGGGAAAGGGGUAAUUGAUAAAUAACAGGCUUGUUUUGUUUAUAUUUCUGGGAAUUUUUAAAAGUUCAAGAAGACUAUUAAUCUCUUGGGCUAGAAAGAUGGAUUUAACUAUUUAAAGUUUGUUGUUUACUGCUAUUCAAAAGUUGUUGCUACUGUUAUUUCCUUGCUGAGAAGCUCUGUUGGUUGUUCUUAUUAUUCCAGGUACUCUUUUGAACCUUGAAUGUCAAAUGGAGCUUUGAAUAUGUGUGUAUGGAAGAUAUGGUUCUGCUGAUAUUUAAUAAGGAUCAUUUUAUUUGGUUUUGCUUUAGUUUUCCAUGUUUUGGCUAUUCAAUUUUCAUUUCAUUUCCUCUUGUCUAUUUCUUUUCUUGUAAUGUUUAAGCUUAUUGUGAUUUUUUUGGUUAAUAAAGAUGUUAAUAGAAUAUAUUCAAAAACUCAUGCUUAUGUUAGAAGUCUGUAUAACUGUCCUGUUAGCCUAUUGUUCAUUGAAAUGGGGAGUUAAACGUUUGUAAUGGCUUUGGGGCUUGCCUGUCAUUUUGAGGAAUGAAUUUUGAACCCAUAUUGUGUGUACUGUGGAGGAAAUUUCGUGGGACUGCAUAAAACACUGUCCAAAAGGUCAUAUUAGAAGUCAGAUGUUGUUAUGGGUAGUUAAAUGAAAACUUUGGC